rnacentral:rRNA from 1 species
GACGAACGCUGGCGGCGUGCUUAACACAUGCAAGUCGAACGCUGAAGCUUGGUUCUUGCACUGUGUGGAUGAGUGGCGAACGUGUGAGUAAUACGUGAGUAACCUGCCCUUGACUCUGGUAUAAGCCUGGGAAACUGGGUCUAAUACUGGAUACGACAUGUCACCGCAUGGUGGUGUGUGGAAAUGGUUUUACUGGUUUUGGAUGGGCUCACGGCCUAUCAGCUUGUUGGUGGGGUAAUGGCUCACCAAGGCGACGACGGGUAGCCGGCCUGAGAGGGUGACCGGCCACACUGGGACUGAGACACGGCCCAGACUCCUACGGGAGGCAGCAGUGGGGAAUAUUGCACAAUGGGCGGAAGCCUGAUGCAGCGACGCCGCGUGAGGGAUGACGGCCUUCGGGUUGUAAACCUCUUUCAGCACGGAAGAAGCGAAAGUGACGGUACGUGCAGAAGAAGCGCCGGCUAACUACGUG